GACGAACGCUGGCGGCGUGCUUAACACAUGCAAGUCGAGCGGUAAGGCCCUUUCGGGGGUACACGAGCGGCGAACGGGUGAGUAACACGUGGGUGACCUGCCCUCAGCUCUGGGAUAAGCCUGGGAAACUGGGUCUAAUACUGGAUAUGACUCCACGGUGCAUGUCGUGGGGUGGAAAGCCUUGUGCGGCUGAGGAUGGGCCCGCGGCCUAUCAGCUUGUUGGUGGGGGAUGGCCUACCAAGGCGACGACGGGUAGCCGGCCUGAGAGGGCGACCGGCCACACUGGGACUGAGACACGGCCCAGACUCCUACGGGAGGCAGCAGUGGGGAAUCUUGCGCAAGUGGGCGAAAGCCUGACGCAGCGACGCCGCGUGA
rnacentral:rRNA from 1 species